rnacentral:lncRNA from 1 species
AAUUAUUCUAUUCCUGUACAGAUUAUGUACGCUUUGAUUAUCAACAUGUUAGCUCAGAUAUAUAUUCUGUUAAGUUGAUUUCUAAAUGCUUUUACAAGUGUCCCCACUUGGAUAAUCAUGGCAUUUAUUCACAUGUUGAUAUACCUUUUUCAAUUACCCGUAUAUAUAUAUGUUGAACUACAUAUUAUUGUUGAGUAAGAUUAAAAACCUUCGGGUUU